rnacentral:rRNA from 1 species
AUUGAACGCUGGCGGCAUGCCUUACACAUGCAAGUCGAACGGCAGCGGGGGAGAAGCUUGCUUUUCCUGCCGGCGAGUGGCGAACGGGUGAGUAAUACAUCGGAACGUGCCCUGUAGUGGGGGAUAACUAGUCGAAAGAUUAGCUAAUACCGCAUACGACCUGAGGGUGAAAGUGGGGGACCGCAAGGCCUCAUGCUAUAGGAGCGGCCGAUGUCUGAUUAGCUAGUUGGUGGGGUAAAGGCCUACCAAGGCGACGAUCAGUAGCUGGUCUGAGAGGACGAUCAGCCACACUGGGACUGAGACACGGCCCAGACUCCUACGGGAGUCAGCAGUGGGGAAAUUUGGACAAUGGGCGAAAGCCUGAUCCAGCAAUGCCGCGUGUGUGAAGAAGGCCUUCGGGUUGUAAAGCACUUUUGUCCGGAAAGAAAUGGCUCUGGUUAAUACCUGGGGUCGAUGACGGUACCGGAAGAAUAAGGACCGGCUAACUACGUGCCAGCAGCCGCCGUAA